GGAUCGCACGAUCAGUAUCAACAGACCUGAGGGUGGUGAGGCUUCAGCGUCACAAAAAUCAGCUUGCUGCGGAUCGUGACGGGGUUACAUUGUCACAAGGAAGAUAAAUAGUGCGAUACCAUACUUUGUAAUUUACCCUUCUACGUACCUUUUAUCUGGCUGUCAUCGUUCUCGUCUAGCUUUUAAAUGCAAUUGCUUGGAUUCAGGUUUCUGUGUUGUAAUGUGAACAAUUUUAGUUGUACCCCUGGUAGAAAUGCAUGUGCUCAUAAGUCAUUGCACCUUGUUUUGAUGGAAAUGCUUGCAAAAUCGUUCACAGUUUAGGCGCGGCCGUACUACCUGUUGUUUUACUACAUUUAGACUGACUAGCAGACUGUAUAUGACUACAAAACGUGUUUUGUAGUGUAGAUUGUACUGUUUAUUAAGUGGAGUUUAAAAUCGAAGGUGGUGUGAAAGGGUCUCUAGCCGAGUUAGUUAGGUGAUUUGAGUAGCACUCAGGUUCUGGGUUUAACUCUCUCUAGCACAUGGCUAAGACUCGGCUCUGGUCGCGUUUGUUCUCAUAUGGGUUACGGUGCCGCUGCGUGUUUUUUCAACCUGCGUGAGGUCUUCUUAGUAUAAUAUUGUGGGGUAGUCUUACCCUCACAUGUCGAGUUUUAAAUAGAAUGGUGAGAUAGAUAAUGCUGUUGGAGAUAGCCUUAGGAGUCAAUGCACUCGGUCUAUCGUUCAUUUGUCACCUAUCUAUUGCAGCGCUCUAGUGCACAGUUGUUGGGGGUAUACAUCGUAGCCGAAGAUCCUAAAGAAAGAGAACACCUUCGGAAGAUCCUCUCAGGAGCAAGCGCCGAAGCUAUUACCUAUAGAGCUUCGGCAUAAUGACAGAUCUCAAGACGAAGGGCCGAACCGACUUAAAGAUGGAUUGACUUAAAGACCCAUGAUGUUUUGUGUUAUUAUUGUAGUCGAUUGUAAUGGACAUAAAUGUAAUUUUACACGGGCUGCACCCUGUGCCUGUAAAUAUGUGAACAGUACCUCGGCACUGUUCACGUAAUCCUGUAAUCGCUAACGCAUUACGCUGGAAUUAUUUUCUGUCAGAGGCGAAGGUAUAUGUCGGCGUUCCGAGACCGGGGGGUCCCUUGGGCCGACGAGUGAGUGUCGCCGCGUGCCCCAGCCCAGAUGGGUCGAGCGCGAGGGCGAGCGUGAAGGGGGGAGAAGCGAGGCGGCCGGAGACCGGCGUGAGAGAGGUGGGAAUCCCGCGGCCUUCGUGUUCGUCCCGCGCCUAGGUCGGGUGCGCUUGCAGUAGGGGGUUACAAGCGUCCACGCGGGAGAGGGAAGCGAGCGGCCCCAAGCGAGCGUCUGUCUCGUCCUCGUCCCCGCGCGGCCAACCUUCUCUAAGAGGGCCCUGGUCUUUCCUUUUAUAGGCGUAAGGAGAGGAUCUAGGUGUACAACGGGGGGUGUAGCAGAGUGCUACGUGUCUAGCGGGGGAGAGCUAGCGCCCUAAGUACAUGCCGAUGUGGCAGCCGGAGAGAUUUUGGCACCCAGCUGGUGUGAUGUCGUGGCCGUCGGAGGAGCGAUGGAGCCUGGCGGAGGGACAGCUGUCGGAGCGGUUGGGUCCUUGCUGACGUCCUCUUGCUUCCGUAAGGGGGCUGAGAGCCGCCGUCGUCAGAGCAUGCGGGGCGCCAUCAUUGCCUAUCUGGCGGAGCUAGCCAGAUGGGACACCGGUCUUGUUCCCUGCGGCCCGAGUCAGCUCGGGGUAGGGUGAUGAUGGCGCUUCCUGUUGACGUGGCUGGCCUGCGCCCUAGGUUGGGCGAUGUGGAGGCUCCUCCGAAGCCGAGGUCGAGUCUGUCUUCCAUGGCCGAGGCCGAGUCCGAGCCCCUGGGUCGGGCGAGGCGGAGGUCGUCUGCAGAGGCCAGGGCGGAGUCCGGGCCCUGGGGUUGGGCGAAGCGGAGUUCGUCGUCUUCUGGGGCUGAGCCCGAGUCCGAGCCCUGGGUCGGGCGGAGCGGAGUUCGCCGUCUUCCGGGACUUAGCCCGAGUCCGAGCCCUGGGUCGGGCGGAGCGGAGUUCGCCGUCUUCCGGGACCUAGCCCAAGUCCGAGCCCUGGGUCGGGCGAAGCGGAGCUUCCUAUGGUGCCUUUGGCAGGGCCUGACUGCCUGUCAGUCUCACUCUGUCAAGUGGUACUGCAGUCGGAGUGGCGCAGGCGGCGUUGUCCUUUUGUCAGGCCGGUCAGUGGAGCGGCGAAGUGACGACGGUCACUUCGGCUCUGCCGGGGGGCGCGCGUCAGGAUAAAGGUGUCAGGCUACCUUUGCAUUAAAUGCUCCUGCGACUUGGUCGGUCGGUGCGGCGAUUUAGUCAGGGUUGCUUCUUAGCGAAGGCAGGGCCUCGGGCGAGCCGGAAAUAUGUUCGCCGUUGGAGGGGGGCCUCGUGCGACACGAAAAUCCUCCGGGGUCGGCUGCCCUUGUCCGAGGCUAGGCUCGGGCGAGGCGUGAUCGAGUCGCUCGAAUGGACUGAUCCCUGACUUAAUUGCACCCAUCAGGCCUUAGCAGCUUUAUGCUGAUGGGGGUUACCAGCUGAGAAUUAGGAGUCUUGAGGGUACCCCUAAUUAUGGUCCCCGACAGUAGCCCCCGAGCCUCGAAGGGAGUGUUAGCACUUGCUUGGAGGCUUUCGUCGCACUUUUUUGCAAGGGGACCAGCCUUUCUCGGUUGCAUUUUGUUCCGGUGGGUGCGCGCGAGCGCACCCGCCGGGUGUAGCCCCCGAGGCCUCGGAGGAGUGGUUUCACUCCUUCGAGGUCUUAAUGCCUCGCGUAAUGCUUCGGCUGGUCUGGUUGUUCCCUCAUGCGAGCUGGCCGUAGCCCGGGUGUACGGUCGGGUCCCAAGUUCUCGGGCUGGUAUGUUGACGCUGUCAACGGUUCGGCCGGAGCCGGGUUUGCGAGAGCAGUCCCCGAGCCUCUGCGCAGGGCGAGAGGGCGAUCAGGGACAGACUCGGCUUUUUUUACAUACGCCCCUGCGUCGCCUUUCCGCAAGGAGGAGGGGGGGAAAGCGCCAUGUUGCCCUCGAUGGGCGCCGAACAUGGUGUCUCCGGUGAGCUGCAAGCGGGUAAUCCGAGUGGACGUCCGUGCCCCGUUCGUUAGGGGUCGGCUAGGGGACCAGAGGCACGCCCAAAAGUACCUGCGGGUGAUCUGCCGGACCCGGUCCCCUGGCGACGGGGUCCGAGGGCUCGAUGCCUUCCUCUGAUGGGAUUCCGUUACAAGAUCGCUCCCGCUGGUCUCGGAAAUGUCCUAGGGUACCUCGGGAGCGCAGCCCGAGCCUUGGUUAUGUAUCGAACGUACCCAUGGUCAUCCCUCGCUCGGUGUCUGAGGCGGCUGUGAACCCUUCGGGGGCCAGCCUUCGAACCCCUGAUCAGUAAUGGGCGUGGAGCCCGAGUAGCCUGAGGCGGCCGUGGAACCCUUCGGGGGGCCGGCCUUCGAACCUCUGACCAGUAGUGGGUGUAGGGCCCACGCGAUCUGAGGCGGCUGUCGAACCCUUCGGGGGGCCAGCCUUCGAACCUCUGAUCAGUAGGGAGGCUCGGAGCCUGGUUCCUUCACGGGGAAGGAUCCUUUUCGGGGUAUCCCCCUUUCCCGGUCCCUGUUGCAAGAGAGAGAGAGAAAGAGGAAAAAAGGAAAAGGAUACGAAAUCGAACGACGCGGCGUACCUUUUUUGGCGCGGUUAUUACGGCGAAGGCGAAGCGUCGCCCGCUUCUCCUGCCAGAAGCGCUGCCUGUCCCGCCGCGGAGUUAAUGCGACAGGGCGAGUGGUUGGCGGGGCGGUCGUUGCGCGUGCGCGAGCCGUUCGAGGAACGGCUGUUUCGCUUCGCGUUUUUGAAUCCCGCGUCCGGUCCGGGCGGAACGUUGGAACCGGUCUCGCCUUGGUCUUUAUAUACCCGGGAGAGGGUCUGGUGACGGUUCUUUGCUCCGCUUCCUGCCUCCCUCUUAGGUUUUCGCAACCCGAGAGACUUAGCCAGAGAAGAGGAAACCGCCCUUCCUGCCCUUGCGCCGCCAUCCCUUCCGCUCGGUGAUGGCUGACCGGGUGACCAUCAUCUCGCCGCGCGAUCCAUGGCCCUUUUCCACGGUGACAGCGAGUGAUCUGGAGGAUCUGGUCGGCGAGGGUUUGCUUCGUCCUCUCACCGAUGAGCAGCGACCGGAAUGGAUUCCUCCCGUGGGCGGAGCCGCUCCGUCCCCACCGCCGGGGUACAUCGUGAGCUUCGUCUCCUUCCACGAGCGGGGAUUCGGUGUGCCGGCGGGCCGCUUUAUGCGGGCGAUCCUGUACCACUAUGGGGUGGAGUUGCACAACCUCACCCCUAACUCCAUCUCGCAGGCCGCCAUCUUCGUAGCGGUGUGCGAGGGGUACUUGGGGAUCGCCCCCCAUUGGGAUUUGUGGACCCAUCUCUUUUUCGCGGAGCUUUUUGCCUCGCCGACGGGGGAGAGGAAAGUCCGCGCAGCGGUGCGGGCCGGCGGCUGCACCCUCCUGCUGAGGCAGUCGCGGGCGUCGCUGUAUAUUCCUGCCAUCCUCGCAUCCUCGAACAAGGGGUGGCAGCGCCGGUGGUUCUAACUCCGGAACGACGGCGAGUUGCUCCCUCCGUUCUCCCAGCGAGUAGUCACCGCUGCCACCGACGCUUGGCGCCACGGGACCCCGCACGAAAGACAGAAGAACCUCGAACCCCUUCUCCAGGCCUUGGAGGCGUUGCGGAAGGGGGGACUCACCGCUGCGGGAGUGAUUGCCGCCAUCCACCGUCGGAGGGUGCUUCCCUUGGCGGAGCGACGACUGUCGCUUUGGGAGAUGACCCCGGAGGCUGACUGGGAUGGCUCGCGGAUGUCCCCUGAUCCUCUUCCCUUCGACGCCCUCCAAUGGCGGGUGUCCGUUGCGUUAGGGAAGGCGGACCCCCACGCCUUCUCCCAGCUUUUGAUGCGCCCCGACCGAGGGUGCGUGACUCUGGUGAGUGUCCGCUUCUUCCUUCUUCAUACAUCAGGUUGCUCCUGGUUCUUACGAUCGGGGUUUUUCCCCCUUCUUCAGGAGGUGGGGUGGCACAAGCCUUCCCUGCCACGGGUCCCGCAGGACGCGGUGGACCGAGCAGCGCGGCGGGUCGUCGCGGAGGAGAAGAAGAAGAAGAAGGACGCGGAGAAGGCCCGGGCCCGCGAGCGGAGGCGGGCUCGAGACGCCUUGGAAAAGCUCCGUCGCCGGCAGGAGAGGGAGGGGCUCCCGAGGGAGCCGUCGCCGGAAACGCCCGACGACGAUGAUGAAGAUGAUGACGAGGAGGACGACAUGGCCGCCCGCCUUGGCCUCAGCCCCGGCUUGGGGUUUGGCCAGGAGCUGUCAAGCCAGCCCCCGAGCGGGCUGACGCCGUCAGUCCCCGGAGUCGGGACGUCGGGGUCCCGGCCUGAGGGGCGGGGGCAACCCGAGAGGGCACCUGACCCCUCGGCUGGAGGAGCUGAGGUGACCCCGGGGGGCCAGGCCAGGGCGUCUGCUCCCCGAGAGCCGCCGCUCGCGCCGGCAGCGCAGGGAGGCGACCCUCAGGUCACCGUGACAGUGCCUGGGCAAUCUGCCCCCCGGGCGUCCAAAGCAAGGGUGGUGCCGAAGUUGCCGGCGAAGCGGACCUCGGCGGCGGUUCCGGGGGCCGGAAUCCAAGAGACUUCCCCCCAGGCACGGUGGAUCAUGGCCCGGAGCGGGUAAGUAUCUCGGAAUGUCUUCGUCCUGGCUUUCCAUUCAUAUGUCCCGGCCGUGAUUUUUCUUUUUUCCUCAGCAAGCGAAGCCAUGGCCUGACCGACCUGGCACCCCGGAAAGCCCUUAAGACGACGCCGGCCUGUGCGGCCAGCGCCGCUCCGGGCCUUGCCGUUCAGCCGACCCUCUCGCAAGGCGUUCCACCUCAGGGGGUUCGGGCGGCACCGGUCGCCGUGGAGCAGGUUCCCGAGGCUGGCUCUUCUGCCGAGGCGGCCAUUGUGAUAGGGGAGGCAGCUGACGCUGACGUGGUCCCGAGCCCACCGGACGUGCCGGCCAUGCCGGCGCCUGCCGCUACCGAAGUCGCCGCCGUCCCAGUCGGAGAGCGACCGGUUGCUGCCGACGUCGAGACGGCUGAUGCGUCGGCGCUUGGUGCCUCGGAAGAGGGGGGCGUGGAGGCGCGAUCCGUCCCGCCGGGCGGCAGCCUCGUCGCUGUGCGGCAGAGCUUCGAGGGCCGGCGCCAGCUGCUCCGGUUCCGGACCCGUGAGGCCUCGGAUCCCGUCUUGUUCUCGACGAUGAACGGGAGGACCAGUCCUGGGAUGAGCUCCGCGAGUGUGCUGAAGCAACGGUGGGGUCGCUCCGGUCGUCGCUGGAGGUUUUCUGCAGGGACGUCCCCAAAAUCCUCCAGGUAACGGUUUUAGGCAUACCUUUUUUCUUCUGUGAUCGAUGCGUUCUUCGUGACGCCCCGCUUCCUUCCCUCAGGAUCUGACGGAUCGGAGCGCCGCCAAGUCAUCGUUUAUCCGCCGCGAGGUCGACGUCUGGGGCUCGCUGCGAUCCCUGAGGACCUUGCUCGCCGGGGCUACUGCGCGCCUUUCUUAGCAGGGUGCCGAGGUAGCGGACCUCCAGUUGCUCUACACUGACCUGAGAGCCAAGGCGGCAGCGGCGCGCGCGGAGGCGGCCGCGGCGCGCGCAGAAGCGCAACGGCAACGGUCGGAGUUCGACCGGGUCGUCGAGGAGCGGGACCAAUCUCGGGGCCGGGCUGCCGAGGCCGAAAGCCGGGCCGAAACCCUUGCAGCCGACUUAGCCGUAGCCUAGGUCGCGGCCUCGGAGCAGCGUGCCCGAGCCGGAGGUACGCCUUGGCCAUCCUUGGUUCUCGUUCCUGUUUGUUCCCUCUGCUUGUGUUUGAGAUCUUUCUUCUGGCUGUUCGCAGAGCUCGAGUCCGCCCUUGAUGAGUCCGCCAAGGCGCUUGCCGAGGCGCUUGCCGGGGCGGCCGAGCAGAGGGAGGCCGACCACGCGGCCAUGUCCGAAGCCGUCUCGGACGUUUAUCGGAUCCUUGGCUUCGGCGACGUCCCCUCAGGAAGCUCCCCUCAAAGUCGCCUUCAAGCCUUGGGCGAUCACGUGCGCGGCAGACUCCGCGAGGCGCUACACCACAGCGUCAGGCGGGCCUUCGCCGUGCUCGCUUCCCACUACGUUGUGGACCUGGAGCGGGUUAGUGAGGGGUAUUGUCUUCCUGACAAAGACGAAGCUACCCUGGCAGAAGUCCAGCGGCUCGACGCGGUCGCCGCGGGUCCGAGCGCAGUGCUGGCGACCACCUUUGAGGCGGAGAUCCUCCCCCCUGCGCCGUUGCCGGAAGCCGAGAUGGACUUUACCGAAGGCGGGGACGGAGCUGAAGGCGCGGCUCCUUCCCAAGGCGACGCCUAACUCCGUUGGAACAGUUUCUGUUGGAUGCACGUGUGUCUUUCUGCGGCCGCUGAGGCCUGAACACUUUGUUUCCAUUGCAUGAAGUCGUACUCCUCUUCCUUUUAUUUUGCGUGCCCGGCUUUGCCUGUCAAUAACAGGGUGGCUUCCCGAGUAGGGGUCAUUUUUCGUGGCGGGUGAUGAGUGAGGUGUCCCUAACCCGGAGGCAUAGGAAUUCCUCGGCUCAAUCGGCCUUGCCACUUACAUGCACCCACGUUCGCUCCUUGGGGCCCUGUUUCUGACAUAGCCGGGAGAACGCAAAAGCCUUUUUGACCGAAAAUUUUGGAUGCGGAGAGGUACGCCCAAUCUUGACGCAGAGGGGUUCCCCCCUUUUUAGCCCCCGAGGGAGGGUCGGGCUCUGCCGAGGCGAGGCUGACCCUUCCUUGACGACCGAGACUUUUGUGGGAGCGAGGUGUACGAACAGCUUGAAAACAUCUUAAGGGUAGAAGCGACGUAGCUGUCGGAUGUUCCAAGCGUUGCCGUAGACCUCGCCUUGACCGCCGGCCAGCUUGUACGUUCCGGGCUCCAGAACUUUGGCGAUGACAAGCGGCCUUUCCCGGGGGUGCGUGUAGCCCCCGGGUGCCCCCAGCAAGGGCUCGGGGUGCUGUGCGAUGGUCGCGAUCUUCUCCGGGUUGGCUUCGAUGCCCCGCUUGGAGAUGAUGAACCCCAAGACCAUGCCCUGGGGCACCCCGAGGACCCACCUUUCGGGGUUGAGCUUGACGCUUUUCGCCUCUUUUAUAGACUUCGCCGCCAUUAGCUUGUGGAUCUCCUCGCCUAUCGCUCUGCGCUUCUCCUCGUUGAAUCGGCGCAGAGAGUAUUUGACGGGUCGGGCUCUGGCCCGAAUAUCCAGCGAGUGCUCGGCGACAUCCCUCGGUAUGCCGGGCAUGUCCGAGGGACUCCACGCGAAGACGUCGACGUUUGCGCGGAGAAAGUCGACGAGCACUGCUUCCUAUUUGGGGUCGAGCCCGGAGCCGAUCCGGAUUUGCUUGGAGACGUCGCCACUGGGGUCGAGGGGGACGACCUUGACCGUCUCCACUGGCUCGAAGUUGCCGGCAUGACGCUUCACGUCUGGCACCUCUUUGGAGAGGCUUUCCAGGUCGGCGAUGAGGGCCUCGGACUCGGCGAGGGCCUCGGCGUACUCGACGCACUCCACGUCGCAUUCGAACGCGUGCUUGUACGUGGGGCCGACGGUGAUGACCCCGUUGGGGCCCGGCAUCUUGAGCUUCAGGUAGGUGUAGUUGGGGACGGCCAUGAACUUCGCGUAGCAUGGCCUUCCCAGUACCGCGUGGUAGGUUCCUUGGAACUCGACCACCUCGAACGUCAGGGUCUCCCUUCGGAAGUUGGAGGGUGUCCCGAAGCAGACGGGAAGGUCGAGUCGUCCGAGGGGCUGGACGCGCUUCCCGGGAAUGAUCCCGUGGAAGGGCGCAGCGCCUGCUCGGACGGAGGACAGAUCGACGUGCAGGAGCCUGAGGGUCUCGGCGUAGAUGAUGUUGAGGCUGCUGCCUCCAUCCAUAAGGACCUUGGUGAGCCUGACAUCGCCGAUGACGGGGUCGACGACGAGCGGGUAUUUCCCCGGGCUCGGCACGUGGUCGGGGUGGUCGGCUUGGUCGAAGGUGAUGGGCUUGUCGGACCAGUCUAGGUAGACUGGCGCCGUCGCCUUUACCGAGCAGACCUCCCGGCGCUCUUGCUUGCGGUGCCGAGCCGAGGCGUUCGCCGCUUGCCCACCGUAGAUCAUGAAGCAGUCGCGGACCUCGGGGAACUCUCCUGCUUGGUGAUCUUUCUUCUUGUCAUCGUCGCGGGCCCUGCCACCCUCCGCGGGUGGCCCGGCCCUGUGGAAGUGGCGCCGAAGCAUGAUGCACUCCUCAAGGGUGUGCUUGACGGGCCCCUGAUGAUAGGGGCACGGCUCCUUGAGCAUCUUGUCAAAGAGGUUGGCACCUCCGGGGGGCUUCCGAGGGUUCUUGUACUCGGCGGCGGCGACAAGGUCCGCGUCGGCGGCGUCGCGUUUCGCUUGCGACUUCUUCUUGCCUUUCUUCUUGGCGCCGCGCUGAGUAGACGCCUCGGGAGCAUCUUCCGAUGGGCGGCCCUGGGGCUGCUUGUCCUUUCGGAAGAUAGCCUCGACCGCCUCCUGGCCAGAGGCGAACUUGGUGGCGAUGUCCAUCAGCUGGCUCGCCCUGGUGGGGGUCUUGCGACCCAACUUGCUCACCAGGUCGCGGCAGGUGGUGCCGGCAAGGAACGCGCCGAUGACAUCCGAGUCGGUGAUGUUGGGCAGCUCGGUGCGCUGCUUCGAGAAUCGCCGGAUGUAGUCCCGGAGAGACUCUCCCGGCUGCUGCCGGCAGCUUCGGAGGUCCCAGGAGUUCCCGGGGCGCACGUAUGUGCCCUGGAAUUUGCCGGCGAAGGCUUGGACUAGGUCGUCCCAGUUGGAGAUCUGCCCCGGAGGCAGGUGUUCCAACCAGGCGCGAGCGGUGUCGGAGAGGAACAGGGGGAGGUUGCGGAUGAUGAGGUUGUCGUCGUCCGUUCCACCCAGUUGGCAGGCCAGACGGUAGUCCGCGAGCCAUAGUUUCGGUCUCGUCUCCCCCGAGUACUUUGUGAUAGUAGUCGGGGGUCGGAACCGGGUCGGGAACGGUGCCCGUCGGAUGGCCCGGCUGAAGGCCUGCGGACCGGGCGGUUCGGGCGAGGGACUCCGAUCCUCCCCGCUGUCGUAGCGUCCCCCACGCCUGGGGUGGUAGCCUCGGCGCACCCUCUCGUCGAGGUGGGCUCGACGAUCGCGGUGAUGGUGCUCGUUGCCGAGGCGGCCCGGGGCCGCAGGCGCGGUGUUGCGCGUGCGCCCGGUGUAGACCGAGGCUUCCCGCAUGAAUCGGGAAGUCGCGGCAUGAGGUUCCGAGGGGUAUCCCUGCCUUCGGGAGGCAGAGCUCUCGGCCCGUCGGACCGCGGCGCCUUCCAGGAGAUUCUUGAGCUCCCCCUGGAUUCGCCGACCCUCGGUGGUGGAUGGCUCCGGCAUUGCGCGGAGGAGCAUCGCUGCUGUAGCCAGGUUCUGGCCGACGCCACUAGAUGCGGGUGGCGGCCUGACCCUAGCGUCGUCGGCGACGCGGUGCUGGAAACCCUGGGGCAGAUGACGUAUUUCUCCGGCCGGGGGUUGGCCCGCCCAUGCCUGCUCGACGUCCCGGCGGAUCGGCUCAAGCGCUCCUGCUCCCUCGCCGAGCCUGGCCUGCACCCCGCGGAUUUGCUCGAGCUGUGGGUCAUGGCCCCCCGCCUGAACGGGGACCACAACUAGCUCCCGUGGGAUGUCAACGCGGGGCACCGGCCUAGGGAGAUCACCAUCCUCCGGCAUGCCGAGAUGGUUGCCUUCGGAGGGACCCCCUAGAUCGACGUGGAAACAUUCGCGGCUUGGGCCGCAGUCCUCGUCGUCGAGGCUGCGGCUACCGUCGGAACAGUUGGAGAGGCAGUAGUCACAUGCGGUCAUGAAGUCCCGCAUGGCACUGGGGUUGCCAAGUCCAGAGAAAUCCCAACAGAUGCUGGGGUCGUCGUCUUCCUCGGACCCAGAGGGUCCGUAGGUCGAGACGUCCGUCAACCGGUCCCAAGGCGACCGCAUGCGAAACCCCAGAGGGUUUGGACUCGCCUCUACGAGAGCGUCCGCCAAAGCGAGGUCGCUAGGCGGGUUGAGGCUGAAUCCAAAUGACGUAGGAUGAGAAUCGGUCGGUACCUUUUGGUCGACGAGCGGCGAUGAAGUCACGUCGGGGACUGACUGCACCGUCGUCUCAGGUACGAGGGCGACGUCCUGCAAGCUUUUCGCAAGCGCGCUGGCGUCGUCCACUUGCUCGGGAUUGGCGUGUCGCGGGGAGACGGCGCUCGUCUUCGUCUCAGGCGCGAAGUCGAUACCCGGUGCGCCCCUCGUUGGGGUGCCGGCGCUGUCGACUCGCUCGACAGCCGACGAGGCGCUGCCUCCUGCUUGGCCUUGGUUGCCCUGCCUUCCCCUCCGCCGACGGGGAAGAAGGCGGGACGAGCUCGAAGAUUGUUCUUCCGCCACGCGGGGAAGACGUCGUCGAUUCCGCCGCCGGCGGGCGGGCUGUCGGCCGCCAUUGUCGUUGUCGCACGGCGGUGGAAGGAGUAUCAUGUCGUAGCUGCCGUCGAAGGACAUGAACUCAAGACUCCCGAAACGGAGCACCGUCCCGGGUUGGAGAGGUUGCUGGAGGUUGCCCAUCUGGAUCUUGACGGGAAGCUGUUCGUCAACACGCAGCAGGCCCCUACCUGGCGCGCCAACUGUCGGCGUUCCGAGACCGGGGGUCCCUUGGGCCGACGAGUGAGUGUCGCCGCGUGCCCCAGCCCAGAUGGGUCGAGCGCGAGGGCGAGCGCGAAGGGGGGAGAAGCGAGGCGGCCGGAGACCGGCGUGAGAGAGGUGGGAAUCCCGCGGCCUUCGUGUUCGUCCCGCGCCCAGGUCGGGUGCGCUUGCAGUAGGGGGUUACAAGCGUCCACGCGGGAGAGGGAAGCGAGCGGCCCCAAGCGAGCGCCUGUCUCGUCCUCGUCCCCGCGCGGCCAACCUUCUCUAAGAGGGCCCUGGUCCUUCCUUUUAUAGGCGUAAGGAGAGGAUCCAGGUGUACAACGGGGGGUGUAGCAGAGUGCUACGUGUCUAGCGGGGGAGAGCUAGCGCCCUAAGUACAUGCCGAUGUGGCAGCCAGAGAGAUUUUGGCACUCAGCUGGUGUGAUGUCGUGGCCGUCGGAGGAGCGAUGGAGCCUGGCGGAGGGACAGCUGUCGGAGCGGUUGGGUCUUUGCUGACGUCCUCUUGCUUCCGUAAGGGGGCUGAGAGCCACCGUCGUCACAGAGCAUGCGGGGCGCCAUCAUUGCCUAUCUGGCGGAGCUAGCCAGAUGGGACACCGGUCUUGUUCCCUGCGGCCCGAGUCAGCUCGGGGUAGGGUGAUGAUGGCGCUUCCUGUUGACGUGGCUGGCCUGCGCCCUAGGUUGGGCGAUGUGGAGGCUCCUCCGAAGCCGAGGUCGAGUCUGUCUUCCAUGGCCGAGGCCGAGUCCGAGCCCCUGGGUCGGGCGAGGCGGAGGUCGUCUGCAGAGGCCAGGGCGGAGUUCGAGCCCUGGGGUUGGGCGAAGCGGAGUUCGUCGUCUUCUAGGGCUGAGCCCGAGUCCGAGCCCUGGGUCGGGCGGAGCGGAGUUCGCCGUCUUCCGGGACUUAGCCCGAGUCCGAGCCCUGGGUCGGGCGAAGCGGAGCUUCCUAUGGUGCCUUUGGCAGGGCUGACUGCCUGUCAGUCUCACUCUGUCAAGUGGUACUGCAGUCGGAGUGGCGCAGGCGGCGCUGUCCUUCUGUUAGGCCGGUCAGUGGAGCGGCGAAGUGACGGCGGUCACUUCAGCUCUGCCGGGGGGCGCGCGUCAGGAUAAAGGUGUCAGGCUACCUUUGCAUUAAAUGCUCCUGCGACUUGGUCGGUUGGUGCGGCGAUUUAGUCAGGGUUGCUUCUUAGCGAAGGCAGGGCCUCGGGCGAGCCGGAAAUAUGUUCGCCGUUGGAGGGGGGCCUCGGGCGAGACGGAAAUCCUCCGGGGUCGGCUGCCCUUGUCCGAGGCUAGGCUCGGGCGAGGCGUGAUCGAGUCGCUCGAAUGGACUGAUCCCUGACUUAAUCGCACGCAUCAGGCCUUAGCAGCUUUAUGCUGAUGGGGGUUACCAGCUGAGAAUUAGGAGUCUUGAGGGUACCCCUAAUUAUGGUCCCCGACAGUAUAAACGUACCUAAAUAUUAUGUUUUGACAUUUAAGUUCAUAUUAUGAAAUAUAUGAAUAAUGUAAUUUGUUUUUCCUAUAAUGUUUAAUAUUUUAUAUUUUAUUUCACAUUGAUGAAUGUUUGACCACGAAGGUAUGACCUUCGUGGUAUUCUGUCCGUGGCCUUCGUUCGAAGUUCAUUAAAUCCAUGGGGAAAUAAUGCUUCAGCGAACGAAGGGCAUUAUUAUUUAACAUUUUCUGUGUUGCCUUGUUCUUAAUUCAUAGCAUUUGGGAACAAGUCCCCAACAUUGGCGCCCACCUCCGGUGAACUCACUUCCACUUUUUUGAGCUGAUGGCUUCGUUCAACAACCAAGCUGGAGCUGAUUCGGCUCCGAAGCUGGUACUCCUGAUAACAGGCGGUUCAUGUUCAGAGCCAGCUAACAAGAAGCAGAAGAAGGAGGCACAGAGAAGGGUACAACAUGUCGGGGUGCAAGGACCCUUCAUCAAGUCAAGAUGGUCGCACAUCCCAAUUACCUUCUCUCAAGAGGACCUUCAGCUCAAGGAUUACCCUCACAAUGAUGCUAUAGUUAUUUCUUGUGUCAUCAAAGGAUUUCUGGUCCACAAUGUUCUGGUUGACACAGGCAGUACAACGGAUAUUAUAUUUGCUAAGGCCUUCAGACAGAUGCAAGAGCCCGAAGAUAAGAUCCAUGAUGCUACACAUCCCCUUUGUGGCUUCGGAGGAAGGCAGAUUGUAGCACUCGACAAGAUCACGAUGCCAGUGACCUUCAGAUUUAUCAACAAUACAAGGACUGAACAAGUUGUGUUUGAUAUUGUUGACAUGAAAUACCCUUACAACGCAAUCAUUGCUCGUGGGACACUCAAUGCUUUUGAAGCAAUUCUUCACCCAACAUAUCUUUGCAUGAAGAUACCUUCGGAUCAAGGGCCUGUUGCUAUUCAUGGAAGUCAAGAAGCUGCCAGAAAGGCCAAAGGAAACUGGACAGAUUCAAAAGCAAUCCAUAAUAUAGAUGGAGCUGAAGCUUGUGAGCAAUACAAGUACAGAAGGGAGAAGGCUGCUUCGGCUGAUCAGCCAAAGCCCAUGCUUUUAUGUGAAGAUAUAGCAGAGCAGAAGGUGUUGCUGGGUUCUCAAUUGUGUGAGGAGCAGGAGAAAACCUUGACAAGGUUUCUAUUCAACAAUAAAGAUGUCUUCGCAUGGUCGGCCAAUGAUCUCUGUGGUGUGAACAGGGAUGUCAUUGAGCACUCGCUCAAUUUUGAUCCAUCCUUCAGACCAAGAAAGCAGAGACUUCGGAAAAUGUCUGAUGACAAAGCCGAAGGUGCUCGGAACGAAGUGAAAAUACUUCUUAGUGCUGGCGUCAUUAGAGAAGUAAAGUACCCAGAAUGGUUAGCCAACACUGUUAUGGUGAAGAAGGCCAAUGGUAAAUGGAGAAUGUGCAUUGACUUUACUGAUCUUAAUAAGGCUUGUCCGAAGGAUGAAUUUCCAUUACCAAGAAUAGAUUCUCUAGUAGACGCAGCAACUUCGUCAGAACUCAUGAGUCUACUAGAUUGUUAUUCAGGCUACCAUCAAAUCUGGAUGAAGAAAGAAGAUGAGCCAAAAACCAACUUCAUAACCCCCAGUGGUACAUAUUGUUAUCUUCGAAUGCCUGAGGGGCUGAAGAACGCUGGAGGAAGCUUCAACAGAAUGACAGCGAAGGUCAUUCAUUCUCAGAUAGGCAGAAACGUGCUAACAUAUGUUGAUGAUAUCAUAGUAAAAAGCACGAAGCAAGAAAAUCACAUUGCUGAUCUGCAGGAGACAUUCGCUAAUUUUAGGCAAGCUGGUCUAAAGCUGAAUCCAGAAAAAUGUGUCUUCAGAGUAAAGAAGGGGAAAUUCCUUGGUUGUUUGGUUUCAACAAAAGGGAUCGAAGCUAAUCCAAAUAAAAUCGAAGCUAUCAUUCGGAUGGAACCGCCAAGCACAAAGAAAGGGGCUCAACGACUAACAGGAAGACUGGCAUCUUUGAAUCGAUUUAUAUCCAGAUCAGCAGAGAGAAAUUUACCAUUCUUUGAAGUGCUGAAGUCAGCCGAAGUUUUUCAAUGGGGAUCAGCUCAGCAAAAAGCCUUCGAAGAGCUGAAGCAGUAUCUGAUAGAUUUAACAACCUUAACUCCACCAGCGCCAGGGGCUCCUCUGCUGUAUGUGGCAGAUCCGCACUCUGCAGUAAGUGCGACGCUUGUCCAGGAGAAGCUUGAAGGACAAUUGAAAAAGCAGGCUCCAGUAUACUUCGUCUCCGAAGUUCUUAGUUUAUCAAAUAAAAACUAUACAGAAUUGGAGAAGGUGUUGUAUGCUGUCUUAAUGGCCUCCAGGAAGCUUCGACAUUAUUUUCAAGCAUACCAUAUAAUUGUUCCUUCAUCACAGCCUUUGAAGGAUAUUAUGAGAAACAGAGAAGCUACUGGAAGGAUUGGAAAGUGGGCUGCGGAACUCAACGAGUUCAGCAUUGAUUAUGUGCAUAGAUCUUCGAUUCAGUCCCAAGCGCUAGCAGACUUCAUCGCUGACUGGACGCCAGGGGCUCAGGAGGAAGAAGCAAGUAAAGAUGUCGAAGCUUGGACAGUGUUCUGCGAUGGUUCCUGGGGAACCUUCGGGGCAGGUGCAGCUGCCGUUUUAAUUGCACCUUCCAAAGUCAGAACAUGCUACGCAGUGAAACUUGAUUUCAGCUGCACAAAUAAUAUUGCCGAAUACGAAGCUUUGCUUUUGGGGCUUCGGAAGUUGAAGGCAAUGGGGAUAAGAAGGGCGGUUCUUAAAACCGAUUCCCAAGUUAUUUCUGGUCAUAUUGAUAAGAGUUGUAAAGCAAGAGAUCCAAAGCUCGAGAAAUAUUUGGAUACAGUUCGAAGGCUUGAAGCUUCCUUCGAAGGGUUUUUUGUCAAGAAUAUUCCACGAGGAGAAAAUGAGCACGCUGAUAUGCUAGCCAAGUCAGCGGCACAUGGGCUGCCUUUACCUUCGGAAGUAUUUUUUGAAACAAUAAAAGCACCUUCGGUCGACCUUCUUGAAAGAGCAGUGCUCAAUAUAUCUCCUGUUUAUAUCGAAGAUUGGAGAACUGAGAUCAUGUCUUUUCUCCAGGGCAAUUUCUUUUCAGAUGACGAAGCUUAUAAUAAGAGAAUAGCGGCAAGAGCCCGUCCAUAUGUAAUAAUAGAAGGGGAGUUAUACAAGCAUGGAGUUUGUUCUCCAUUACUCAAAUGUUUAUUCAGAGCUGAAGGUAUAGAGCAGAUGAAAGAAAUACAUGCAGGCCUGUGUGGAUCUCACAUCGGAUCUAGGCCCUUGCUGGGUAAAGUUUUUCGUCAAGGAUUUUAUUUGCCGAAGGCAGCUUCGGAUGCAGCAGAAUUAGUCCAAAAAUGCGAAGGUUGUCAAAAAUGUGCAAGAGAUCAAAAACAACCUUCGUCUCUAACUUAAUUAAUACAGCCUACUUGGCCGUUGCAAAGAUGGGGCCUUGAUUUGCUAGGCCUACUUCCACCAGCACAAGGAAAUUUAAAAUAUGUUGUGGUGGCAGUAGAAUAUUUUUCUAAGUGGAUUGAGGCGAAACCUUUAGCCACAAUAACUUCGGUCACUGUCCAAAAAAAAUCUGGCAAAAUAUUGUCUGUCGCUUCGGAGUGCCGAAGGCUAUUACUGUGGACAAUGGAACACAGUUUGAUGCCGAAGCUUUCAAAGAGUUUUGUGAACAAAUUGGCACGAAGAUCCAUUUUGCAUCGGUUAGGCAUCCGGAGUCAAAUGGACUUGUCGAAAGAGCUAAUGGCAUUAUAACGAUAGGAAUAAUGAAGUUAAUCUUCAACCAGCUCAGGGGGAAGUUGUGGUAACUUCACACCUACCCGUCUGUUUAUAUAGUGCCGCAGGUGGGAAGGUGAAUCGUCAAGGUCUCCCGCACCGAACAAACAGUCACCCGCACUCCCUGAACGGUGGGCCACAGGGUCCGAGAAGGUGAAUCGCUGGGGCGCGCGUAACUGCUGCAAGAUGGGGCCACCGCGCGCGCGGCGAUUAUUUUAAUCGUUUCUUGCGAACGAGCUCAGGGAAGGUGUUUUUCGGAUCUUCGGCGUCCCGAAGCCUAGAAGGUUUUUUCACGGAUCAAGCUCGUUACGAAAAACAAUCUAGCACCGCGAAGGGCUACUGUUGGGGGUAUGCUUCGUAGCCGAAGAUCCUAAAGAAAGAGAACACCUUCGUAAGAUUUUCUCAGGAGCAAGCGCCGAAGCUAUUACCUAUAGAGCUUCGGCAUAAUGACAGAUCUCAGGACGAAGGGCCGAACCGACUUAAAGAUGGAUUGACUUAAAGACCCAUGAUGUUUUGUGUCAUUAUUAUAGUCGAUUGUAAAGGACAUAAAUGUAAUUUUACACAGGCUGCACCAUGUGCCUAUAAAUAGGUGAACAGUACCCCGACACUGUUCACGCAAUCCUGUAAUCGCUAACGCAUUACACUGGAAUUAUUUUCUGUUAGAGGCGAAGGUAUAAACGUACCUAAAUAUUAUGUUUUGACAUUUAAGUUCAUAUUAUGAAAUAUAUGAAUAAUGUAAUUUGUACCUAAAUAUCACAAAUGCGGAGAGGUUGCUUCGAGUCCUCGACCUGGUGACUCAGUGGGACAGCUCUCAUCACUGCAUCAGGCCUGCCCUUUAGAAUGCUACUAUUAGAAUAUUUCUAAAAUAGUUUAUAUUUUAUCUUUAAAAAGGAUUGACUUCAAAAUAAGAACAGUUGAGCUUGAUGGUAAGCGCGUAAAAUUACAGAUAUGGGAUACUGCUGGUCAAGAGCGGUUUCGAACUAUUACAACCGGUAUGCAAUACUUGUUUCUGUCAGUUGCAGUAAUGUUGGCCCCUCAAUUUUUAUGGGUUAACUAGGUGAGUGCCCGUGCGUUGCAACGGGAACAUAAAAAUAUGUGUUAUAAGGUUGCAGAGGUAUGCACACCAUGUCCCUUUUUUCCCACAGGACUACAGGACCUCACUUCUGUGUCUUGGUGACUACACAGCAGCGGCGACUCCAGUGCAAACGUCAAGAGUCUCGAGGAAGAAACGGCGGCGAAGAUCGAGCAACUCACCCAGUAGGCCGCAAGCAUCUCCCUGACCGCCAUGGUGGGUCCCCGGCGAGGCGAGGCAACCCGAGCGAACCCCGGAUCCGAAUAUGCGGGGACGACAGGGGUGGGGGAAGGGGCACCGAGGACCUGCGCGGAGGAGGGCAAGGAUGGCGAGGUGUGCGAGCGAGCGUGGGGCGAGGAUGGCGUGGAUGGUAGAGGAGUGGGGGCAUGGUGUUGCCUUAUGGAUGGUGGGAGCGAGGAUGGCGGAGAGCAAGCGGGGCGAGGAUGGUGGGAUCUGCCGUGGAGGCAAUCCCUGGAUUGCGUCCUUCCAUCAAUAGAGAGCGGGGUUGACGGAGGCUGGGGCGAGUACCACGGGAUCAACGAAGCACGGGCGAGAGGGUGUCGGGGUGUAGACGCCUACACUGCAGACUUAUAGAGUAGUAGAGAUAUGCUUCAAUCAUUGUGGAGAUAUGCUUCAAUCAUUAUAGAGGAUCGACGUUGAUGGCGGCUCGGCGUCGCGUGGAUGGCGGGGAGCAGAGGAGCGGUGGGUGGGCAGAGGGAACCGGCAGAACAAGCACCUAUGGACGCCUACACUACACAAUUAAGUAGUAGUAGAGAUAAGGGAAACCUGGAGGAUGGAGUAUAAUUAUUUGGAAAAACAAUAGCCAAAAUAAGGCAGGAAGUAAACUAAUUCCUGAAAACCAACAAUCAGUCACAAUGACCAAAGAUCAACACAAAGUGCAAGCAGUAAGACAAAAUGAACUGAAAGGGUUGGUUGGUGUGGAGCAGGACUGGUUUGUGUGCUUGGAUGGGAGGCAAAACAGAAGGCAGUAGAACAGUUGGAUAAGAGAUUGGGGAAGUUGCUACAGUAGGGAAUGAAGUUUGUUGUGGUUGGUUUGCUACCAUUGUCGCUGCAGCCAGCGUUGGUGGCUGGCCUGGAGGUGUUAGAUGUAACAUCGGAUGGACUGUUCUGUCAGUUGCUUCUCGCUUAGCUCCAUCUCUUUUAUUUUGUCUUGAGAAAAGGACUACUCCACCCCUGCGCCUUCGAUCAUUCAGAUACUGAGUUUCCACUGUCGUUUCAGCAUACUGAUGAAAAUGUUCCACCUGGACAAACAAGAAUGUUCAUCAUAAACGAACAUGCCAAAAUGUGUAGUUUCCAAACAGGGACAUUCCCCGUUUACAAUAUAUUAGAGGGGAGAAAACAUAAUGCACAUGAGGGAUUUAACUUCAUGUUUGCAAUUCUGAUACGCAGCAGGUCACAUUUUUUUUAUAAUUGCAAAUAGGAAGUUAAAACGAUGGACAUAAGCUAGCAACUCUGGGAAAGGAGACUGUGAGUGAACUUAGCAUUCCCAGCAGACAAGUUUGAAGAAGUUGAUUUGUGAACUUAGCAUUCCCAGCAGACAAGUAGCUAUGAUGGUUAUCAUCCAUUAUGUGUAAGAUUUACCUUAAUGCCACAUGGAUUAGAUAGUCAUGAACAUUACACAUAACAUUUGACAGAGACUCCAAAGAUUCAGCAAAGGCCUUGCCAUCCUUCAUUUGGGCAAGUUGUUCUAGUUCUAGAAUCAAUUUGCAGGAGCAGCCAAGAUCAUCCUCAAAUAUGGCAACUGUGUGUUGCACAAAAGGAGAAGGCCGCCUGGUAGCUCUAUAACAAUGAAACCUUGGUGACAUGGUCAAGUGCUGAUGGAAAUCAGAGUUUGCACUUUCAGCACUUAGACAAACCCGAUUUCUUUGAUAACAAUCAUUAAGCUCUCAAUGGAAUUCCUCUCUCUCUAUCUAUCUCUCUCUCUCUAUUCAUGAUGGUAGAGAUAGGUAUAGCCGCCUGCUACAGGAAGAAAAAAAAUCUGGUUAUGACAAACAGUCUCAAAAUCAUAAGUGUUACUUUGCAGGAAUUUUAUAGAAAUUGUAUAAAGAUUUUAUAGGAACCGCUUUAUUUUUUUUACAAGUGAAGAACAAAUGAAACGGGAAAUAGAGCCUGCAAACCAAACUGUGCCUUCUUAUUGUUAGCAUAGAUUAAGGUCAUAAUACACAUUGUUGAACACCUCAUGGCAUGCUCCAAGAUCCUAAAAUGGACUCCAAGGCAAUGUCUGCAUUUGCCAAAUCAAAUGGGCCUUCUAAAAGAGAAUGCCAAACACCUAUCUCUCCAGUUUGACUGAAGCUUCUGAAACAAAAAUGCGGCGAGCAUACCUCGUCUUGUUUUGGAUAUAUGUUGUAGAAACAAAACAAGCUGUGUGUGAGUCAAGUGAGUGAACAAGUAGACGCACCUCAGGCUUGCAGGCCUUGCAAAGCACGCCAAGGGAGUUGGCGAGCGCGGAGGCGUCCUCCACAGCACCGCGGUUGCUGUGGCUGCUCUCCGACGGCAGGACGUGAUGUUAGCACUUUAGCAGAAUGUGUCACGUGUUAAACCCACGAGGAAAGAUAAGAGAAUGUCAUCAUACCAGUCCUUUGAGAUCCUCUUCAGAAAGAAAACUUAGCUGAUCAAAAGCAUCUUCCAAAAGUCGACUUCUUAUUUUGAACCGUUGUCUUGUCAAUGCAGAAUGUGAUGUUGAUUGUCUAGAAAACGUUAAUUGGGAUUGCUCGCAGAAAGUGAAAAAAAGUUCAAGACAUUGUUUUAGAAGAUGUAUCAAUCUUAUUUGGGAAUAUCUCAGCUGACAAAAGUUUAAUGAAUGCAAAUUUGUCAACAUUCAUACAUGCUUCUCAAAAAAAAAUAGAAGAACACUGCAGAGCUUUAGGCUAUAAGUGAAUUUAUGCCACACACUCGUGGAGCAAAUAAAUCCUACAUCAUUGAACCAAAAGAAAAUAUUCAACAGCAACAGGUGUAAAGUGUUUUUUAUUUUGUGCUAUCUCAGAUGUUUGUUUCCUCAAUCCUCACAAAUGGUACGGAGUUUACUCCUGAAUUUUACUAUCUGUGCAUUCUUUUCACCACUUUAUUUAAGCUGCUAGCUAUGGUUUUCAAGCAAUUUGUACUAUUUGAACCAGUACGCACCUGUCUUAUUCAGCACUAAUUACACAAUAGAUUAGCAAUAGCUUACAGUGAAUAUUUUGACUCGACUGGUAAAUGGAGCCAAAAAAGGAGCAAGCUUUAUGAUCUCUGAUGCUCGAGUAUUACCAAGUAUUGCCUGAAAAACAUAUGCAUAGUCAUAGAUGAUGAAAGACAUUUCAAUUAAUCCAAAAAAGCAUAGGCAUCCAUACUUGAGACACAAAAUUUUCGCUCGUAGCUUCUUGAGAAUAGAAAUCACUUGCAACAUUGAAUGGUAGUCGGUUGUUCCAGUCUUGCAACUGCAAUGAGGUAAGCUAUUAUAUGACAGUUUGGGUGGAAGUGCUUCAUCAGAAACAAAGUAAGCUGAAACAAAACAGCAACAGUUACUUUCGUAAAGAAAAAUAUGUUUGGAAUAUUACCAGAAAAAACUAUUAUAUGUAUUGACAUAAAAAAACCACAAGUGGAAUUUGACCAUCCUGUAUUCCUAUAUUACUGAAGGCAUUUAUAAAGUUUAAAGAAAUCAUAAUUUCAGGUGAGCCCUUUUCAAUGUUAGUACAGUAUCAUGGACUCAUUAGCAUGUACUGUAGCUAAACAAGAUGCAAGAUCAUAAACUGUGUAUGCACUCAUCGCUGAACCUGAGCUGAAGCGCCCCCAAGUUUAAUUAUUCCAACGGUUUUGUUAGGAUCCCCUCCAAGCCUUCCAAGAGCAUAAUUUGCCGCAACCCAAGCAUAUACACCUUUAUCCGAGCCUGUAAAAGAAGAACCACCAAGUGUAACAGCUAAUGAUACAAAAGGCACUUUUAAACACCAUACCCCCCCCCCCCCGCCAAAAAAAAACAAACAACGAAAUUUUAUGCUUGCUAGUUACUAAUUUGCACUGCGUAGAUUGUUAUAAAUUGCUGCAUGCUGUCAUUUUGAUUCUAGUUUUUUUCUUACUCAACAAACAGAAGUGUCAUCUAGGAAUACCCUAAAGCUGCAUCUCCGCUACAUAUUUCUGCUAGUCAUUUCUAAAUCCAUCGACUCACAUCUAAUGCAGAUUUGCAACAACAAACCCGCAACAAUUGGCACUCUCUUUACAUACACAACACACCUGGAAUCAGUUAGCAUUUCUAAUUCAUUGCAUUAUUGGUCGUCUAAUUUAAAAAACCCAAUUUACUUGCCACAAUGCAAUCAGACCGAGCAUUUUAGAGCUUAAGCAUCCAAUCCCCUAUCCAUAGUGCAAUCAGCGACCGAGCAUUUUACAGCUAAAGUAUAGUGACUUGCCCGAGGUGGCAGAAAAUGACAAGGGACAAGCAGUACCUGGGAUCACCUUGGCCCACGCGUCCUCGAACCGGAACCCAGAGGCUCGUAGAACAUCCCUGCAAGACGCUAAGAUCGCCUCCUGGGCGCGCUCCUCGAGCAGGCGCAGCCCUGCGAUGGCCAUGAGCCGCACCUCCGCCUCCCUAACGGCGCCACCAAUCUUAUCCCUCGCGAAAUCUAACAGAGGCUUCAGGGACUCCCCGGUGGAUUAUGCGGCGGUCACGGCGCGACGGACGGGAUUGCAGCAGGGGGGGGCUCGAGAUUGUUGGUAGCCGCGGCGAACGGAUUGCGUCGCCCCCCUCCAAAUCCUUCCGCGAAUCGCGCCGUGGCUACGAUUCCGGAGGUCGGGCGGGCGGCGUUGGCGGGCGGAGGUGGCGGGCGGUUUGCGGCGAGGAAUCCGGAGGUCGGGCGGGCGGGAGCGGGGGCAGUCUACGCUGAGCGGCGUGGGCGGACUGGGGGGAGGCGGGGGCACGCGCGGGGGGAGGCGGGGGCUCGCGGCGUGGGCGGACUGGGGGGAGGCGGGGCACGCACGGGGGGAGGCGGGGGCACCUUAGCUGUGGACGCUAGGGAUGGCAACGGGUACAUACCCGUCAGGUAGUACCAUUCCAUACCCGUACCCAUCAAAAAAAUUCUACCCGUCGGGUUACCCAUAUAUACUCGCGGGUAUAAAAUCUUACCCAUACCCGUACCCGCGCGGGUAUUUUUACCCGUCGGGUAACCCAUACCCGCAAGGAAAGAAUUAAAUUCCAAUAUACCAAUCACUCAAAAUAUUAAAGAAACAUAUAAAAACAACUUUAAUUUCACAUAUAACAAAUUAUAUGAUUACAUAACUUGGUAUCUAGACAAAUGAUAAUUAGAGAAGAGUUUUAUUCUAGCUAAGUUGGACUCUAUUAGAUGUUUAUAGUGCUAUUGAUGCGGGUAUAUUUUACCCACGGGUAGACGGGUAUGGGUAGUACCAACCCAUACCCGUACCCGUCUACCCAACGGGUAGAGGUUUUUACCCAUUAACAUACCCGCGGGUAGAGAAAUCAUCCCGUACCCGCCUUCAUAUCGGGUAAAACCCGUCGGGUAUUCGGGUUUCGGGUACCCAUUGCCAUCUCUAGUGGACGCUGACACUCCCUUCUUAAUAGAGUAGUAAAGAUUAUUCUGAAUCUGCUAAUAAUUUUGAUUAUGCAGCCUACUACAGGGGUGCAAUGGGAAUUUUGCUUGUCUAUGAUGUUACUGAUGAGUCAUCUUUCAAUAGUACGUGCACAGUGCAUUUCAACUAAAGUCAAUCCUUUGAUAUGGGCCUUUGGCUUCUCUUCUGACGUUAGUGUUAAUGUUGACAGAUAUAAGAAACUGGAUUAGGAACAUAGAGCAACAUGCUUCCGACAAUGUGAAUAAAAUUUUGGUAGGCAACAAAGCUGACAUGGAUGAAAGCAAACGGGUAUGUUCUUUUUUCCUCUUUAUUGUCUCGCAUUUUCUGUCCAUGUAAUGUUACAUUCUUAUUCAAGAUUUUUGUGUACUUUGAUGUUCAGUUUAAACUGGAAAACUGGAUCAGACAUGAGGUGGAAAACAUCAGGAUAUGUUUAACACAAUGCACCUCAAAUAGCCGUCAUGUAGUCUCUAGUCUGUCCAAUGUUUUUUUUCGAACAACGCAGGAGAGCUGCGUGUCAUUUCAUUAAGACAGAAAACACCAAGUACAAAGGGAGGAGCCAGACCUCCCUGAACUCAUAACAGCACUUACAAAACACUGCGGCUAAUGGCUAUGGGACAGGCGCACUCCAUGAGAGGGAUCUUGCUGUCCAAAGGCCCCGGUUAGACACCACAAGUGACCCUCUACAGCCACUUGGGCAAGAACUAUUUGUGCCUGAGGCCGGAUUCCAUCAAACACGCAGGCAUUCCUGUGCUGCCACAAUUCCCAGGUGACUAGGAUGACCAAGGAAUUGAAACCUUUCUGCUGACCUUUUUUGAUAGAAACGGUUGCCUUUCUCCACCAAGAACAGAAGUGGCUCGAGUAGCUGGGCGGCAAAAUGUUCAGCCCGAGUUCCCUCAAUAAACAUGCAAUACCUCCCUGGAGAGCACACAGGCAGAAAGAAUGUGGUUGAUUGAGGAGCAGAUGGAUGGUGUGCGCAGAUGGGUCACAGAUGGUGUGCCAUGGAGCAGAGGCACAGGUGAGGGGUGCUGUGCAUGCAAAAAGCAUAGGGCAGGCGAACGGCAUGGCUUGGGGAGACAGGACAGGUGAUGCAGCUGCAUGAGAAUGAAGGCAGCAGCUGUUAAUCGGUGGUGGUAGAGGUAGGCCGUACGGGAUUGAUGGGAGGUAUGGACCUAUGGUGCUUAGAUGAGCUAGUGGGCUUCCCUAAGGCAAUGGGCUGUCUAGACUGUAGACAUUCUGUCUUCCUUUCCCAUUUAUUCUUUCAUAUUUGUGCAGAUUGCAGUUACAUCUCCUGUCAUCCUUAUUCUUUGUAAGUGGCGUUUAUUGUCUGAAUACAGGCUGUGCCAACUUCAAGAGGGCAGGCUCUUGCUGAUGAGUAUGGCAUCAAAUUUUUUGAAACGGUCUGUUCUGUUUUUUACUUUGUAUUUCUGCUGUGUUCUCCUUGCAUCUAUUCUAACUGAAUGGAACGACCUGCCUGAUAUGUGGUUGCCUAAAACUAAAAGGCUAAAACUAUAUAAAUCAUGAUUGUUGUUUCUGCAGAGUGCGAAGACGAACCUGAAUGUGGAGCAGGUUUUCUUCUCCAUAGCAAGAGAUAUCAAGCAAAGGCUUGCUGAAUCUGAUUCUGUAACACCCUGAAUUUGGGGGUAUAAAAUUUCUUUUUUAAUAUCCACCAAAUUCAGGUGUUACCCUCUUCUUCCUUUGCCUUUCUUUAUCUUUCAAAAAUAGAGAAGGAAUAUUUUGUUUUUAUGAAAGUAUUAGAUGUAUUAAUGAAUCUCAAAAAGGGUUUUUGAUCAUUGCAUCACAUGCUGGAGCAUUAGUCUUCUUGUUGUUGAUUGAGUUGAAAGAGUUCAACGAGUUAAUUUAUUCUCUUUUGAGAAGCCCAAUUUAAUUAAUAAUAGAAAUUUACCAAAAAAUAUUUAUUGAAUAUUCUAUUUGGAAAUAUUAUUAUUUUUAAUCAUUAUGGUUUUCUUUUAAUAUUUCAAAAAAUAACAAAUAUUUAUUCAUACAUUUUGAAUAACAUGCGUUAAGAAAAAGAGGAAAAUGAAUUUCAAAAUAAACAGAAAUAAAGAAAAGGCCUAGCUGCUCGGCAUGUCCGUGGCCCGCUCGGCCUUCCAGCCUCGUCGCGCGCACGGGAGCACGAGUAGCGGCCAUCCAGUUCAUGGGCCCACCCGUCAGCAGGGUGCGGGACCCACUUGUCAGACCAAUUUUCCUCAACUGCCCACUCCCUUCCCUAGCCGCCACUACUCCUGUUUCCCAGCCGCCAGGUUGUUCCUCUUCACGUACGUCCACGACUUCUUCAACCCCAAGCGCAUCUGUUCCCUGCUCUCCUUGGCAACCAACAGCAGCGGCAACCAGCAGCCCGGCGCGGUGGCCGGCGACCAGGGCGUGGCAGCCGGCGGUGCGCCCAGCCAGCCGCCCGUGCCCGCCGCACCGUGAUGCGUACGUCGGAUCGCCGCUAGUGCCGCGUCCAGCUUCCGUCGCGAGCUCGGCCCUACGUCGCCCAGGCCCUCGUCGGAGCACCUCGCCAUCCUGGCCGUCGUCGCGAGCGUGAGGUGAGCCCCCUCUUCUUCUCCCUCUCUCCUCUGGCUUCUCUUUCCUGUCAACGCGUAGCUAGCAGCCGUCCGGCUUGCGGCAGGGACCUCCUCGCGUGAGCCCGUCUGGCCGCCAUGCCCGACCAGCCCAUCCGGCCGCCAUGGCGAGCCGCUGCCAUCGCGCAGUCUGGCUGGUGCCUAGUGGCCAGCCAAUGAAUGGUCGAGCAGCCCGGCGGCAAGGGCCCCUGCGCGCGGUCGCAGCCAGCGUUGCCGGCGUGCCUGUCAGGCCCCGCGCCCCUUUCCCUGGCCGGCAGAACCGCCUCGCCGUGAGUGGCUCUGCUGUUGUCGUCCGCCUCGCCGUGAGUGGCUCUGCUGUUGCCGUCGUUCAACAGAGAAGAAGUCAAAACAGGAAACCUGCAUGUGCGAUACUUCUCCCAUGGGCAAUACUUCUUCCGUGCAUGUGCUUUUUUCAGCCAUAUGAACCCACGAACUCCUUGCAUGUGGCUAGAAAAGUGCUCCCAUAUUAGAUGAAAGGAUCCUCUGCACCCAUGGCUCUUGUGGCCCUUCGUGUGGCUGUGCUUUUGACCAAUUAAAUCGUGCCAUGUCAUAAGGUCGUAAAUAAUCCACAAACACUAUUUAUUCAAUAUAAUUUAUGUCAUAAACCCAUUUAAGUUGCACUAAAAUUGUAAUAAUAUCACCAACGCGUUAGAAACACUAUUAUGUCAUGAAGCAUGUUUUAUGUAUGUAAUUAAUUAUUUGUUUACAUUGGUUAUUAAAAUAGAUUUCUAAUUAAAACUAAUCUGUAGUUUUAAUUUAUACGUUUAUAAUAAAUGUUAGCAUGAUUAAUAUCAGCUCGAAUGUUCUCGAAUUAAUGCUUGUUUAGCAUAAUCGCGACAUCUGUUAUUGUUUCUCGCGUGUCGCUCAUGCUAUUCGCAUGUGUCGUUGUUGCUGUUCGCGUGCCAUUCGCGUGCGUCGUCACCGUCCAUUCACGUGUGUUGUGCGCAAUCCGCACACGUUAUUUAAUCAUUUUGCUAUAAUCGUUCAUGCUUAUUAAUUAAUUGUUGUUUAGCCGUUGACUAAUUGAUAAUUUAGUUUAUCUAAAAUAUCUUGCGCAAAUAAUUUAUAUGAACUAAAAUCAACCUAGAAAUAUAGCUUUGCGCGUUUAAUCACAAUCUAGUAGUAUUCGUUGGUCGCGUCGUUUGUUAGCCGCAGAUGGCCAGUUAUUUGUUAUAUAAUGCGUCGUAAGCCCAUUUCUACUCGUCCUGGUCACGUGCUGAUUCGCUCGUCGUUCGCGUUGGUCGCGCGCACUAUUUCAGGUGUCGUCAGCGUGCUAUGUCGCGCGUGUCCGCACGUCGUUUGUACGUUGUCGUGUUGUUUCGCGCAUCGUAAACUCGCCUCAUUUAGAAUCUCUCGUGCUAAUUAUAUUACUUAUUUAUUUGACAGCGGUUAGUGUAGCAUAUUUAAUCAAAACUAAAUAGUAGAUGUAAUUUAUAUUUGAUAACGUCGAAUUAAAUGUCCUAGUUCAUAUUCGUUUAAGCGUAAACAUGAUAACUUGUCGACCGUAGCCUCGACCGUCGCGUUUCUUUGUCCUCGUGUGACCGUAGUAACACACUCUAUUUUAUUUUCCGUAUUUUAUAUGUUUUACUUGAAUGGUGUAAUGUUCUUAUGCAUAUAUAUGGUUGUUUGUUUGUACCUAUUUGUAUUCGCUGUGCGACGCGAAUAGAUUGCGAUCUGUUCCUGAGCUUCGAGGAAUCGACGGUCAAGCUUCGGCGACCAAGUGAUCUAGCUCUUCGAGUUCCAUAAAGUUGAAGACCCUGAGCAUCUGUUUGGUGAAGGCAAGUGUCCCUUGACCUAUCUCUGUCCUAUACAUACUUUAAUUCACCUCCCACAUUACACAUUUAUACCUAAGGAUUGACUAGCUUUUGUUAUCCAUGUCCUUGUUACCUAUCUGGGUUGGAUUAUUAUUGCUUAGUCUUAUGCUAUUGCUCAACUCUAAUCAAUGAACAUGAUGAGAAUUAUCAAUGAUACACUGUUUUCCCUUCUUUUAUUAUGAUGUUAUACUUGUGGUCUUCAAGGGGGCUCGAGCGGUUUCUCGAGUGCCUCUCCGUAAGGACCUGUUCGUUGGAUGACCGCCCGGGAAAACAGUGCAACCAUGAGGGUGGAAUGGGGUGCCCUUAGCUGAAUAAUUAGAGGAUCCGGGGUGUAGUUCGCUUCACCGUCGUGCCGUCAAUGGGGCUCGGUGUAUGCGACUCGCUCUGCCAAGGUUGAUUUGUCCCUUAGGGAGGAGUGCGGUACAUUUAGGAAACCUAACGGGCGGCUACAGCCUCGGGGAAUCUUUGUAAAGGCUACGUAGUGAGACCCUGCCUACUCACCUUGGGAGUGUUUAAGGGUCCGUACAACCCGAGGCAAAAAGGGAAUCAUGGCUCAUGGGUAAAGUGCGCAACCUCUGCAGAGUGUUAUGAAACUGAUAUAUCAGCCGUGCUCGCGGUUAUGAGCGGCCAAGGGAGCUCCAGUGAUUAGUGGUACUUGAUCAGAGAUGUUCGGGUUGCUGGUGACAAUGAGACUGAUGGUUCUUGGUUUUGACUCUGGUAAUGGUAAGUGGUACUCUUUCCGUUUGGAAAGGAGUACGUUUGGGUUAAUAACGUGGGUUAACACUAAAACUUGGCUUUCUAUACUAGUAAUAAUAAUCUGACCAACUAAAAGCAACUGCUUGACUUAUCCCCACAUAAAGCUAGUCCACUACAGCCAAACAGGAUACUUGCUGAGUAUGUUGAUGUGUACUCACCCUUGCUCUACACACCAACCCCCCCUCCCCAGGUUGUCCGCAUUGCAACCACUGCUCAGGAGAAGAUGAAGCCGUGGAAGGAGACUUCCAGGAGUUCCAAGACUACGACGAGUUUUAGACGUGGGUUAGCGGCAACCCCCAGUCGGCUGCCUGUGAAGGCCGCAUUUAUCUACGUUUUGUUUUCGCACUUUGAUUUAUUGUAAAGACUAUGUGGAUGUCUCAGACAUAUGAUUUAAUCGACUAUUUCCCUUUUAAUACUAUUUGAGCACUGUGCGAUGAUGUCCAUGUUAUGUAACUGCUGUGUACGUGAAUUGCUGAUCCUGGCACGUACAUGGUUCGCAUUCGGUUUGCCUUCUAAAACCGGGUGUGACAGAUUCAAAGCCAGAGGUGCAACUUCAAAACUUAUUGGCUGUCCGCCGUACGAAGUCGUCGCCCAGACAUAUUUCGACAGAGCCACCACGGCAUUCGGAGUCAGCUGGUGGAUCCGGACGUUAAAUCUACGCAGGACUUCCCCCACGAAUCGGUGCGCAGGUAGGCGAAGACCAGCGGCAAAGAACGCCUCGAAGACAACCAACUCGCCUUCUGGCUCGGGGACCUCCUCCGUCCCCGGCACACGAGCGACUCCGCCGCCAAAGUAACCAAGCUGCUGCAUAUCUAGCACGCGGACCGAGGACAUCCGCGACACACCGAAAUCCACCGUGUCGCCGGCGCGCAACUCCUCCGCCGCCACAGUGCUCAGCGUCUCCUCAGACGACGCGUCGGCCGGCGGAGUAGCGGCAGCAGAAGAAGAAGAGGUCGGCAUCGCUACGUACCGUCGGCGGCGGCGGGCGGUCUGCUUCACACGGGCCAGAUCUCCGGCGAACAAGAGCAAGGAGGGCAGACGAGCAGCAAGAGGUUUGAGAAGGCGGUUAGGGUUUUCGCGGAGCGCGGAAAGAUAAAGUUCAAAACGCGCCGCCCCCCGUCCCCUUUUAUACACAGGGCGCGACGCUUCGGGAAACCCGCAAUCCAAUAGUACGGCGUCAAUCAACGGUCAUGUCAAAAACCCCCGCGGAACCACUUCGAGCGAGGGCAGCGUCUCCGCCAUCUAGCGACGCCUUCGGCACCAGGUGACUUAGUCGAACUGGUCCCUCGGAGGGCAAAUGUUGGGACGAAGGCGAAGACGCCACCCUUCGCUCGAGACCUUCGCCGUACUCGCUGCACCAACGGUGACAAGACAACGGGCAGACUUACCCUUCGUCUCAUACGUCGCCGGACGAAGACCCGCGACGAGGUCGUCUCAUCCUGCGACCUUGUCCAGAAUGGAGGCCCGCGUGUGAUCCGGCCCAUUGUAACAGGCCCUGCGUGGCCGUUGCGCGUUACGGGCCUAAUUUGUAAAGAUCUCCCUGUAAUUACGGUCUAUAACCCCCGCUUUAUGGGAAUAUUCCGGAGAUAAUCUAGGUGUCUGAGGGCACAUGCGUCCUUAACACGGGACGCUGGGCACCCGGAUACUUAUAAAUACCCCCGCACAGUGCCCUUGAGAGGCUAGAUUAACAGAGCUAUUGUCAUGUCGUGCGAAAACCCUGUUUACGUCACUUCACACCCCCGUUGGAUCACCUUGCACCAGAGAGCAAGUUCCAACACUUAUUCUUCCUUUUCAGCUUGUUGCAGGAAAAAAAACUAAUUAACUAACAACUUGCAUACUUGCUACUUCAGCAAUGUUGCUUAACAAGAAAGGAAUUCUAUGUUUCAGGAUCGCACGAUCAGUAUUAACAGACCUGAGGGUGGUGAGGCUUCAGCGUCACAAAAAUCAGCUUGCUGCGGAUCGUGACGGGGUUACAUGCGAUACCAUACUUUGUAAUUUACCCUUCUACGUACCUUUUAUCUGGCUGUCAUCGUUCUCGUCUAACUUUUAAAUGCAAUUGCUUGGAUUCAGGUUUCUGUGUUGUAAUGUGAACAAUUUUAGUUGUACCCCUGGUAGAAAUGCAUGUGCUCAUAAGUCAUUGCACCUUGUUUUGAUGGAAAUGCUUGCAAAAUCGUUCACAGUUUAGGCGCGGCCGUACUACCUGUUGCUUUACUACAUUUAGACUGACUAGCAGACUAUGUAUAUGACCACAAAACGUACUGUGGAUCGUACUGUUUAUUAGGUGGAGUUUAAAAUCGAAGGUGGUGUAAAAGGUCUUUAGCCGA
rnacentral:lncRNA from 1 species